rnacentral:rRNA from 1 species
GAGUUUGAUCCUGGCUCAGGACGAACGCUGGCGGCGCGCCUAACACAUGCAAGUCGAACGAGCGAGAGAGAGCUUGCUUUCUCGAGCGAGUGGCGAACGGGUGAGUAACGCGUGAGGAACCUGCCUCAAAGAGGGGGACAACAGUUGGAAACGACUGCUAAUACCGCAUAAGCCCACAGCUCGGCAUCGAGCAGAGGGAAAAGGAGCAAUCCGCUUUGAGAUGGCCUCGCGUCCGAUUAGCUAGUUGGUGAGGUAACGGCCCACCAAGGCGACGAUCAGUAGCCGGCCUGAGAGGGCGACCGGCCACAUUGGGACUGAGACACGGCCCAGACUCCUACGGGAGGCAGCAGUGGGGAAUAUUGCACAAUGGGGGAAAGCCUGAUGCAGCGACGCCGCGUGAAGGAAGAAGUAUUUCGGUAUGUAAACUUCUAUCAGCAGGGAAGAAAAUGACGGUACCUGACUAAGAAGCCCCGGCUAACUACGUGCCAGCCGCCGCGGUAAUUC